CAAUAAGUGUUCAAUGGCACUUUAAAAUCCAUUACCCACCUUGUGUGCAAUGUAAGGAGGAGGGGGUUUGUCAGGCUUUUUUGGUCUGGUUUCCCCUCUUUCAUUAUACAUACCAAAUCUUCUCUUGUUGUCUACUUUUCGAGUAUAAAAACUCAAAUA
rnacentral:misc_RNA from 1 species